UCUGCGAUCAGGAAAGAACACAGACCACCCCCAUGGAGUUUCGGCUGAACUGGGUGGUCUUGUUUGCUCUCUUACAAUGUGUCCAGGGUGAGGUGAAGCUGGUGGAGUCUGGAGGAGGCCUGGUGCAGCCUGGGGGUCUCUGAGACUCUCCUGUGUUGGCUCUGGAUUCACCUUCAGUAGCUACAACAUGAUCUGGGUCCGCCAGGCUCCAGGGAAGGGGCUGGAGUGGCUGGCAUAUAUUACUAGUAGUGGUGGUAGCACCUACUACGCAGACUCUGUGAAGGGCCGAUUCACCAUCUCCAGCGACAACUCCCAGAACACGGCCUAUCUGCAAAUGAACAGCCUGAGAACCGAAGACACGGCCCGCUAUUACUGUGCAAGA